rnacentral:rRNA from 1 species
UACACACCGCCCGUCACAUCACGAAAAGUCGGUUGCACUAGAAGUCGGUGGGCUAACCCGCAAGGGAGGCAGCCGCCUAAAGUGUGAUCGGUAAUUGGGGUGAAGUCGUAACAAGGUACCC